rnacentral:rRNA from 1 species
AGAGAGAGACAUGCGCGCAUAUCAAUAAGCGGAGGAAAAGAAACUAACAAGGAUUCCCCUAGUAACGGCGAGUGAAGCGGGAAGAGCUCAAAUUUGAAAUCUUAAAGGGUUUCCCUUUACGAAUUGUAGUUUAAAGAAGUGUUUUCUGUUGAGGUUUUGGUAAAAGUUCUUUGGAAUAGGACAUCAUAGAGGGUGAGAAUCCCGUAUUUGACCUUUACUUUCAACUUUGUGAUACACUUUCAAAGAGUCGGAUUGUUUGGGAAUGCAGUCCAAAAUGGGUGGUAAAUUUCAUCUAAAGCUAAAUAUUGGCGAGAGACCGAUAGCGAACAAGUACCGUGAGGGAAAGAUGAAAAGAACUUUGAAAAGAGAGUUAAACAGUACGUGAAAUUGUCAAAAGGGAAGCGUUUGACACCAGUGUUGUUUUUCUGAAAAUCAAUUAAAGAACUGUUUAUGCUAAGUUGUUUAGACUUUAUCAGGCUAACUGUUUAGUUUUGAGCUUUUCUUUAAUGCACUUUUCAGUUAACAAGUCAACAUCAAUUUCUUUUGCUGUAAAAAAGCUUGAGGAAGGUGGCUUGAGAUUCGUCUUAAGUGUUUAUAGCCUCUUGCCUAUGCAGUCGGAGAGAUUGAGGUCUGCAGCGUAGAUCCUUCGGGGCUAAAUGCAUUUGUGCUAAGUUAUAGCAUUUUAUAGACAACUUGUUGACUAUGAUUUGUCUUGUAGCUUACUCGCUUAUGUUAUUUUACCUACGCUUAGGAUGUUGAGCGCAUGUCUCUCUCU